rnacentral:rRNA from 1 species
AUUGAACGCUAGCGGCAGGCCUAACACAUGCAAGUCGAGCGAGCGGCGGACGGGUGAGUAAUGUAUGGGGACUGCCCGAUAGAGGGGGAUAACUACUGGAAACGGUAGCUAAUACCGCAUACUAUCGGAUAACCCAUAUGGGAUUAGCUAGUAGGUGAGGUAAUGGCUCACCUAGGCGACGACCCCUAGCUGGUCUGAGAGGAUGAUCAGACACACUGGGACCGAGACACGGUCCAGACUCCUACGGAGGCAGCAGUGGUGAAUAUUGCACAAUGGGCGCAAGCCUGAUGCAGCCAAGCCGCGUGUAUGAAGGAGGCCCUAGGAUUGUAAAGUACUUUCAGUCGAGAGGCGUUACCGACAGAAGAAGCACCGGCUAACUCCGGGCCAGCAGCCGCGGUAAUAC